rnacentral:tRNA from 1 species
GCGCCUCUGACGGAAAUGGCAGACGUAGCGAGCUUAAAAUUCGUGGUCGAAAGACACUGAGGGUUCGAAUCCCUCGGGGCGCACCA